UACGUAGGGUGCGAGCGUUGUCCGGAAUUACUGGGCGUAAAGGGCUCGUAGGCGGCCAACUAAGUCGGAUGUGAAAUCCCCAAGCUUAACUUGGGAACUGCAUCCGAUACUGGAUGGCUUGAAUCCGGGAGAGGGAUGCAGAAUUCCAGGUGUAGCGGUGAAAUGCGUAGAUAUCUGGAGGAAUACCGGUGGCGAAGGCGGCAUCCUGGACCGGCAUUGACGCUGAGGAGCGAAAGCUAGGGGAGCAAACGGG
rnacentral:rRNA from 1 species